CAUCUGAAUCUUCUUUGUAACUUCUUUAGACUAGCGCCCGGGUCACCAUGGUAACACAACAAGCUGCAUCUGCCUGCUCUUCCUAAUAAGAAGCACUUGACUGCUUUAACCCUAAGGUUGUCAAACAGCUCUAAGGAUCCUGCAUUGUGCUUAGGAAAGUAACCCUUGAACCGAGGAUGAGGCCUCCGAAAACUCCUCAAGUACCAAGGACACUCACUCCCCAGCAGAGGUCAGGCCAUCUGCUGCAGAAAUAAACUAAUUUAUCGUCUGACACAACCUCAUUGAAAAUCCAUGGUGAUGCCUCAGGCUGUGACUGCUGGAUCAACAUGAGGCUGGUCUAAGCCCCUGAGAGGAACUUCUCCCUGAUUAACAUGGAAGUGGGAGGCUCAGGUCACCUUACAGGACUAGGAGGAAUCUGGCAGCCGAAGAGUUCCUUUCCCCAGUGUGUUUAGCUUUUACCUUGGAUUGUACGUCAGCAUUGUGAUCGUUCUGAAG